CUACGUGCCAGCAGCCGCGGUAAUACGGAGGAUGCGAGCGUUAUCCGGAUUUAUUGGGUUUAAAGGGUGCGUAGGCGGCCUGUUAAGUCAGCGGUGAAAUCUAGGAGCUUAACUCCUAAAUUGCCAUUGAUACUGGCGGGCUUGAGUGUAGAUGAGGUAGGCGGAAUGCGUGGUGUAGCGGUGGAAUGCAUAGAUAUCACGCAGAACUCCGAUUGCGAAGGCAGCUUACUAAGGUACAACUGACGCUGAAGCACGAAAGCGUGGGUAUCAAACAGGAUUAGAUACCCUGGUAGUCCACGCAGUAAACGAUGAUAACUGGGCGUAUGCGAUAUACAGUAUGCUCCUAAGCGAAAGCGUUAAGUUAUCCACCUGGGGAGUACGCCGGCAACGGUGAAACUCAAAGGAAUUGACGGGGGCCCGCACAAGCGGAGGAACAUGUGGUUUAAUUCGACGCAACGCGAGGAACCUUACCAGAUCUUGACAUCCC
rnacentral:rRNA from 1 species